rnacentral:rRNA from 1 species
GAUGAACGCUGGCGGCGUGCUUAACACAUGCAAGUCGAACGAAGCGCUUUGGAUAGAUUUCUUCGGAUUGAUAUCCUUGGUGACUGAGUGGCGGACGGGUGAGUAACGCGUGGGUAACCUGCCUCAUACAGGGGGAUAACAGUUAGAAAUGGCUGCUAAUACCGCAUAAGCGCACAGUACCACAUGGUACCGUGUGAAAAACUCCGGUGGUAUGAGAUGGACCCGCGUCUGAUUAGCUAGUUGGCAGGGUAACGGCCUACCAAGGCGACGAUCAGUAGCCGACCUGAGAGGGUGAUCGGCCACAUUGGGACUGAGACACGGCCCAA